GGGUGCUUGGCGCAAUGGUAGCGCGUUUGGCUUCGAUUGCUGACCGUACCAAAAGGUUGCAGGUUCGAGUCCUGCAGUGCUCA
rnacentral:tRNA from 1 species